AUUGAAUUGAGUAGUUUCACAUUUUUAACAUUUAAAAAUUCCUUUGCUUCCUAUUCCUAUUGCUAUUCAAAAUAUGGUAAAGCCAGCUGUCAGUCAAAUAUGGACGUACAGAGCCAGCAGAGUUGAGGGAAAAAAGGAUUUAAUAACUAUACAGGUGGAAAGCCGUUUCCUCCUAAUUGAAAACUGUGCUCUAGUUUUUUGUUUUUUUAAAUGCAUGUGGAAACUUAAAGAUGUUAAAACAGUUAUCUAAAGUUAAUUAGUUAGAUUAGCAGUCCAGUGUAAUUUCAUAGUUUGAAAUCAGCCACUGGACCCCAAGUCUUUAAUAAAGUUAGUAGUUUGCAUUUACCACUGACUGGACUGUAAUAGCACGGACGAUGGCACGAGAAAGACCUCUCAGUUUUUGUUUUUUUGUUUUUUUUCCCCAAUUAACAGAAGGAGGGAGUUCUGUGGAACUGCAGCCCAUCAAUUAUUCAUUGUGGAUUUUUACAGAAGAUUCUUGGGAGUUCCUGUGAAUAUUAAAGCAGACAACCGAGCAGAUGUGUUACAUUGCUCUCAUCUAACAGAUCUCUCUGGGAUUCAGCCUGUUCCUCUUCCCCUUUGCUUUCAUUCAUUCAUCUCUGCAGGCAGCGUCAUAGCCCACCUGGGUCAGUGGGCAAUAUAAACUAAGGGUGAGGGGCAAUAUUUGUUUGAACUUCUUGAAUUAAACUUUUUUUUCAUAAUCUUCUGCUUUAGAUUUUUAUUUUUUAUUUUUUGUACGAAAUGAGUCUCAACCACUUUGCUUAUCAGCAUGUUCCUUUUUUUCAGUGAAGUGGUACCUUCAAAGUGGCCUGCUCUGCAAUGAAUUCCAAAUUGACACAUCAUUCCAUUAAUGUUUAUUAUGCUGACAAUGAAGACCAGUGUAUGCCAAUUAGUCCAUUAGUUAUGUUUGCCUAGCUAAGUGCUUUAUGGGAGUAGAAGUUACUGGAUGGAUGGGGUUUUCAGCUGUCCUGACCCAACCACGUCAGCAGUGUGCCUUAAAAUCGCAGGAACAGUGUUGUUCAUUUUAAACUCACAAACGUAUUUUUGUGAUGCACAAAGAAAUUGAUAUCUAUGUAUUGGUUAAAAGGAAUUUCAUUUGGAUCUGUCUGUAGAUUUUCGCAAUAUCUUGUCACAAAGCUGCUUAAUUAACUCCUGUCAUAAGGCUGAAUGAGGCAGGCAGGAAUGAGGUCCCAAAAUGCAGACUCGUAGGCAGAACAAAAUUCAGCUUUAUUCCUGGACUGCAAGAAUACCAAACUAGGAGGUACUAGAAACUAAACAAACAAGCAGAACACACAGCUGACGAA
ensembl:lncRNA